GUUGUAGCUCCGUGGUAGAGUACUUGCCUAGCAUGUCUGAGGCCCUGGGAUCAAUCCCCCAUACAACA
rnacentral:tRNA from 1 species